AACGAACGCUGGCGGCAUGCCUAACACAUGCAAGUCGAACGAGACCUUCGGGUCUAGUGGCGCACGGGUGCGUAACGCGUGGGAACCUGCCCUUAGGUUCGGAAUAACUCCCCGAAAGGGGUGCUAAUACCGGAUAAUGUCUUCGGACCAAAGAUUUAUCGCCUUUGGAUGGGCCCGCGUUGGAUUAGCUAGUUGUAGGGUAAAAGCCUACCAAGGCGACGAUCCAUAGCUGGUCUGAGAGGAUGAUCAGCCACACUGGGACUGAGACACGGCCCAGACUCCUACGGGAGGCAGCAGUGGGGAAUAUUGGACAAUGGGCGAAAGCCUGAUCCAGCAAUGCCGCGUGAGUGAUGAAGGCCUUAGGGUUGUAAGGCUCUUUUACCCGGGAUGAUAAUGACAGUACCGGGAGAAUAAGCUCCGGCUAACUCCGUG
rnacentral:rRNA from 1 species